rnacentral:rRNA from 1 species
CUUGCUAGAAGAUGACGAGCGGCGGACGGGUGAGUAAUACUUAGGAAUCUACCUAGUAGUGGGGGAUAGCUCGGGGAAACUCGAAUUAAUACCGCAUACGACCUACGGGAGAAAGGGGGCAACUUGUUGCUCUCGCUAUUAGAUGAGCCUAAGUCGGAUUAGCUAGAUGGUGGGGUAAAGGCCUACCAUGGCGACGAUCUGUAGCUGGUCUGAGAGGAUGAUCAGCCACACCGGGACUGAGACACGGCCCGGACUCCUACGGGAGGCAGCAGUGGGGAAUAUUGGACAAUGGGGGAAACCCUGAUCCAGCCAUGCCGCGUGUGUGAAGAAGGCCUUUUGGUUGUAAAGCACUUUAAGCAGUGAAGAAGACUCUUCGGUUAAUACCCGGAGACGAUGACAUUAGCUGCAGAAUAAGCACCGGCUAACUCUGUGCCAGCAGCCGCGGUAAUACAGAGGGUGCAAGCGUUAAUCGGAAUUACUGGGCGUAAAGCGAGCGUAGGUGGCUUGAUAAGUCAGAUGUGAAAUCCCCGGGCUUAACCUGGGAACUGCAUCUGAUACUGUCAGGCUAGAGUAGGUGAGAGGAAGGUAGAAUUCCAGGUGUAGCGGUGAAAUGCGUAGAGAUCUGGAGGAAUACCGAUGGCG